GUGGGGAAUAUUGGGCAAUGGGCGAAAGCCUGACCCAGCAACGCCGCGUGAAGGAAGAAGGUCUUCGGAUCGUAAACUUCUAUCCUUGGUGAAGAUAAUGACGGUAGCCGAGAAGGAAGCCCCGGCUAACUACGUGCCAGCAGCCGCGGUAAUACGUAGGGGGCAAGCGUUGUCCGGAAUGAUUGGGCGUAAAGGGCGCGUAGGCGGCCUGGUAAGUCUGGAGUGAAAGUCCUGCUUUUAAGGUGGGAAUUGCUUUGGAUACUGUCGGGCUUGAGUGCAGGAGAGGUAAGUGGAAUUCCCGGUGUAGCGGUGAAAUGCGUAGAGAUCGGGAGGAACACCAGUGGCGAAGGCGGCUUACUGGACUGUAACUGACGCUGAGGCGCGAAAGUGUGGGGAGCAAACAGGAUUAGAAACCCGGGUAGUCC
rnacentral:rRNA from 1 species